UCUGCCCGCUGGCGGCGUGCCUAAUACAUGCAAGUCGAGCGAACGGACGAGAAGCUUGCUUCUCUGAUGUUAGCGGCGGACGGGUGAGUAACACGUGGAUAACCUACCUAUAAGACUGGGAUAACUUCGGGAAACCGGAGCUAAUACCGGAUAAUAUUUUGAACCGCAUGGUUCAAAAGUGAAAGACGGUCCUGCUGUCACUUAUAGAUGGAUCCGCGCUGCAUUAGCUAGUUGGUAAGGUAACGGCUUACCAAGGCAACGAUGCAUAGCCGACCUGAGAGGGUGAUCGGCCACACUGGAACUGAGACACGGUCCAGACUCCUACGGGAGGCAGCAGUAGGGAAUCUUCCGCAAUGGGCGAAAGCCUGACGGAGCAACGCCGCGUGAGUGAUGAAGGUCUUCGGAUCGUAAAACUCUGUUAUUAGGGAAGAACAUAUGUGUAAGUAACUGUGCACAUCUUGACGGUACCUAAUCAGAAAGCCACGGCUAACUACGUG
rnacentral:rRNA from 1 species